CUGAACCGAAUGUUUUCAAAUUCGCCAUAUGCACUCUUUAGAAGUCAGAUUUGCCUGCCAAUGUGAGAUUUUCACCAACUAAACCUUAGGUAGGUGACUUUUGACAGCCUUUUCCCUUCAUCUUAAGCAUGCAACAGGUGCCUGCCAGCCUUUGGAGGUCUGUACCCUUACAGCAUUUUCAUAUGGGUUUGAAGUUCAAGGUAGACAAGUGUCGGUCACUUCGAGUGAUGCGAGGCAGGGUCGUUACAAAUUUCAAAGACUUCCUGGAGACCGUUCUCCCAGUAACAGUCCCCUGGGAGUUGUUAACUCAUGUGUCACGAGGGCUAUGGUGGAGGUCUAAGACUAUGGUUUGUCUCAAUAUUGCUUUGCAAAAAGUGGCACUUAGAAGGAAGAAAUGGUAUAAUCUGCUACCCCAGACAGAAAGAGGCUACUGUUCCUCAAUUUAGGCACCUAAAUUUGUAUAUAAAAGCUGCUAGGCUACACUUUCAAGCAUUUACUGACAGUGCAUACUGUGCACAGAAUGGGGGGGGGGGGUGUAGAGGAGCCAUUGUGGCUUAUAUUUCCCCUGAAAUUGGUAAUGUGACCCCGGGGCAAGCUUCAAUUAACUCAUUUGACUUAGAUUCAUUGAGAAAUUCUUCCAUUUUAAUGCUUUUUUGUCCUUUUUGUCAGUUUUUCAACUUUUUGUAUCCUUUGGCUAUAUAUUGCAAUAUGUACACUCAUCAAGUGCUUACAGGUCUAAACUAACAGCAUUUUAGUACUGAUUCAGGAGCCUAAAUGGAGGUAGAGUAGUCCCCUUGUGUCAAGGUGAGCAGUUUUCAACUCCCUUUCCUUUGAUUGUCACUUUUUGCCAAAUGACAAGGGACCUGUCCAUAUAGACUCAGACCACUGUCACAGCAUUGAGGACAGCUCUCUAACACCUGUUAUCCAAGCUAUUCCCAAGAGACUAUUCUUUGUCAGAAAUCUUUGAAACUCAGGCUAAUACUGAGCAACCCUUUUCCGCACCAUGUGAAAUAAUUGAAAUUUGUCUAUCUUGAACUUGAAGCCUGUAGCAGCAUUUUCAUAUGGGUUUGAAGUUCAAGGUAGACAAGUGUCGGUCACUUCGAGUGAUGCGAGGCAGGGUCGUUACAAAUUUCAAAGACUUCCUGGAGACCGUUCUCCCAGUAACAGUCCCCUGGGAGUUGUUAACUCAUGUGUCACGAGGGCUAUGGUGGAGGUCUAAGACUAUGGUUUGUCUCAAUAUUGCUUUGCAAAAAGUGGCACUUAGAAGGAAGAAAUGGUAUAAUCUGCUACCCCAGACAGAAAGAGGCUACUGUUCCUCAAUUUAGGCACCUAAAUUUGUAUAUAAAAGCUGCUAGGCUACACUUUCAAGCAUUUACUGACAGUGCAUACUGUGCACAGAAUGGGGGGGGGGGUGUAGAGGAGCCAUUGUGGCUUAUAUUUCCCCUGAAAUUGGUAAUGUGACCCCGGGGCAAGCUUCAAUUAACUCAUUUGACUUAGAUUCAUUGAGAAAUUCUUCCAUUUUAAUGCUUUUUUGUCCUUUUUGUCAGUUUUUCAACUUUUUGUAUCCUUUGGCUAUAUAUUGCAAUAUGUACACUCAUCAAGUGCUUACAGGUCUAAACUAACAGCAUUUUAGUACUGAUUCAGGAGCCUAAAUGGAGGUAGAGUAGUCCCCUUGUGUCAAGGUGAGCAGUUUUCAACUCCCUUUCCUUUGAUUGUCACUUUUUGCCAAAUGACAAGGGACCUGUCCAUAUAGACUCAGACCACUGUCACAGCAUUGAGGACAGCUCUCUAACACCUGUUAUCCAAGCUAUUCCCAAGAGACUAUUCUUUGUCAGAAAUCUUUGAAACUCAGGCUAAUACUGAGCAACCCUUUUCCGCACCAUGUGAAAUAAUUGAAAUUUGUCUAUCUUGAACUUGAAGCCUGUAGCAGCAUUUUCAUAUGGGUUUGAAGUUCAAGGUAGACAAGUGUCGGUCACUUCGAGUGAUGCGAGGCAGGGUCGUUACAAAUUUCAAAGACUUCCUGGAGACCGUUCUCCCAGUAACAGUCCCCUGGGAGUUGUUAACUCAUGUGUCACGAGGGCUAUGGUGGAGGUCUAAGACUAUGGUUUGUCUCAAUAUUGCUUUGCAAAAAGUGGCACUUAGAAGGAAGAAAUGGUAUAAUCUGCUACCCCAGACAGAAAGAGGCUACUGUUCCUCAAUUUAGGCACCUAAAUUUGUAUAUAAAAGCUGCUAGGCUACACUUUCAAGCAUUUACUGACAGUGCAUACUGUGCACAGAAUGGGGGGGGGGUGUAGAGGAGCCAUUGUGGCUUAUAUUUCCCCUGAAAUUGGUAAUGUGACCCCGGGGCAAGCUUCAAUUAACUCAUUUGACUUAGAUUCAUUGAGAAAUUCUUCCAUUUUAAUGCUUUUUUGUCCUUUUUGUCAGUUUUUCAACUUUUUGUAUCCUUUGGCUAUAUAUUGCAAUAUGUACACUCAUCAAGUGCUUACAGGUCUAAACUAACAGCAUUUUAGUACUGAUUCAGGAGCCUAAAUGGAGGUAGAGUAGUCCCCUUGUGUCAAGGUGAGCAGUUUUCAACUCCCUUUCCUUUGAUUGUCACUUUUUGCCAAAUGACAAGGGACCUGUCCAUAUAGACUCAGACCACUGUCACAGCAUUGAGGACAGCUCUCUAACACCUGUUAUCCAAGCUAUUCCCAAGAGACUAUUCUUUGUCAGAAAUCUUUGAAACUCAGGCUAAUACUGAGCAACCCUUUUCCGCACCAUGUGAAAUAAUUGAAAUUUGUCUAUCUUGAACUUGAAGCCUGUAGCAGGUGAAAGGUCACCAUUACAGACAUG